CGGGUUAUAGCUCAGUAGGCUAGAGCGCUACGUUCGGGACGUAGAGGCCGCCAGUUUGAGUCUGGCUAGCCCGACCA
rnacentral:tRNA from 2 species